rnacentral:rRNA from 1 species
UACGUAGGGGGCAAGCGUUGUCCGGAAUCAUUGGGCGUAAAGAGCGUGUAGGCGGUUCGAUAAGUCGGCUGUGAAAGUCCAGGGCUCAACCCUGGGAUGCCGGUCGAAACUGUCGGACUAGAGUUCGGAAGAGGCGAGUGGAAUUCCCGGUGUAGCGGUGAAAUGCGCAGAUAUCAGGAAGAACACCCGUGGCGAAGGCGGCUCUCUGGGACGGUACUGACGCUGAGACGCGAAAGCGUGGGGAGCGAACAGG